rnacentral:rRNA from 1 species
GGCGGCAGGCUUUACUAAUGCAAGUCGAGCGGGCAUAACUAUCUGUCAGCGGCAGACGUGUGAGUGACGCGUGGAAACGCACCUUUUGGUUCUGAACAGCUGAGGGAAACUUCUCCUAAUACCCGAUAACCCCUUACGGAAAAACAUUUAUCGCCGAAGGUUCGGCCCGCGUCAGAUUAUCUUGUUGGAGAGGUAAUGGCUCCCCAAGGCGACUAUCAUUAGCUGGUCUGAAAGGAUGAUCAAGGACAUUGUGACUGACACACCUGACAAACUCCUACGGCACGCGGGACUGGAGAAUAUUGGACAAUGGGCGCAAGCCUGAUCCAGCCAUGCCGCGUGAGUGAGGACGGCCCUCUGGUUGUAAAGCUCUUUUGUGCGGGAAGAUAAUGACGGUACCGCAAGAAUAAGCCCCGGCUAACUUCGUGCCAGCAGCCGCGGGAAUACAACUGGGGCUAACGUUGCUCGAAAUCCCUGGGCAUAAACGGUGCGUAAGCCGGUCUUUAAGUCAGGGGUGAAAUCCUGGACCUCAACUCCGGAACUGCCUUUCAUACUGAAGAUCUUGAAUUCCGGAUAGGUGAGUGGAACUGCCAGUGUAGAAGUGUCAUUCGUAAAUGUUCACCUUAACUGCAGAGGAGAAGGCGGGUCACUGGCCUGAUACUGACGCUGAGGCACAAAAGCGUGGGGAGCAAACAGGAUUAGAUAACUUGCUGGUCUACGCCUGACACGAUGAAUGCCAGCCGUUAGUGGCUUUACUCACUAGUGACGCAGCUAACCCUUUCAGCAUUCCAUCAGGGGAGUACGUUCGCAGGAUUCCAACUCAUAGGAAUUCACCGGGGCCCGCACAAGCGGUGUAUGAUGUGUACUAAUUCGACACUGUACGCAGAACCAUACCAGCCCUGGCCGUCCCAGUCGCGGACCCCGUAGAUGGAAUUCUUCAGAUCCGUUGGACCUGAGACAGGUGCGACAUGGCUGACAUCUGCUCGUGACGCGAGAUGCUGUGUUACGUCCC